UGGAUGCCCUGGCACUGGAACCGACGAAGGACGCGAUUACCUGCGAUAAGCCAAGACGAGCUGGAGAUAAGCGUUGACUCUUGGAUUUCCGAAUGGGGAAACCCACUGCAUUCGCAGUACACCGAAAGGUGAGGGAACGCGGAGAACUGAAACAUCUAAGUACCCGCAGGAACAGAAAGAGACAUCGAUUCCGUCAGUAGCGGCGAGCGAACCCGGAACAGCCCAAACCAGAACGCUCGCGUUCUGGGGUUGAAGGAUCACCAUUUAAGAUUCAUCCACUCCACUUGAAG
rnacentral:rRNA from 14 species